rnacentral:rRNA from 1 species
AAAAAAGAUAUACAAAGAAGAGUUUGAUCCUGGCUCAGGAUGAACGCUAGCGACAGGCCUAACACAUGCAAGUCGAGGGGUAGCAUGAAGUAGCAAUACUUUGAUGACGACCGGCGCACGGGUGAGUAACACGUAUGCAACCUACCUUCUACAGGGGAAUAGCCCGGAGAAAUCCGGAUUAAUACCCCAUAACGCAGGGAUACCGCCUGGUAAUAUUUGCUAAAGAUUAAUCGGUAGAAGAUGGGCAUGCGUUCCAUUAGCCAGUUGGUGAGGUAACGGCUCACCAAAGCAACGAUGGAUAGGGGAACUGAGAGGUUUAUCCCCCACACUGGAACUGAGACACGGUCCAGACUCCUACGGGAGGCAGCAGUGAGGAAUAUUGGUCAAUGGACGAGAGUCUGAACCAGCCAAGUCGCGUGAAGGAUGACUGCCCUACGGGUUGUAAACUUCUUUUGUAUGGGAGUAAAAAGGGUUACGUGUAACCUCUUGCAAGUACCAUACGAAUAAGCAUCGGCUAACUCCGUGCCAGCAGCCGCGGUAAUACGGAGGAUGCAAGCGUUAUCCGGAUUUAUUGGGUUUAAAGGGUGCGUAGGCGGGAUUAUAAGUCAGCGGUGAAAGUUUGAGGCUCAACCUUAAAAUUGCCGUUGAAACUGUUUUUCUUGAGUAUAUUUGAAGUAGGCGGAAUUCGUGGUGUAGCGGUGAAAUGCAUAGAUAUCACGAAGAACUCCAAUUGCGAAGGCAGCUUACUAAACUAUAACUGACGCUGAAGCACGAAAGCGUGGGUAUCAAACAGGAUUAGAUACCCUGGUAGUCCACGCCGUAAACGAUGAUUACUAGCUGUUUGUGAUAUUACAAUAAGCGGCUAAGCGAAAGCGAUAAGUAAUCCACCUGGGGAGUACGCCGGCAACGGUGAAACUCAAAGGAAUUGACGGGGGCCCGCACAAGCGGAGGAACAUGUGGUUUAAUUCGAUGAUACGCGAGGAACCUUACCCGGGCUUGAAAUGCAUCUGACCGCUUAAGAAAUUAGGCUUCUAGCAAUAGCAGAUGUGUAGGUGCUGCAUGGUUGUCGUCAGCUCGUGCCGUGAGGUGUCGGCUUAAGUGCCAUAACGAGCGCAACCCACAUUGUUAGUUACUAACAGGUCAAGCUGAGGACUCUGACAAGACUGCCAGCGUAAGCUGUGAGGAAGGUGUGGAUGACGUCAAAUCAGCACGGCCCUUACGUCCGGGGCGACACACGUGUUACAAUGGAUGGUACAGAGGGUCGCUACCUGGUGACAGGAUGCCAAUCUCCAAAGCCAUUCCCAGUUCGGAUUGGAGUCUGCAACUCGACUCCAUGAAGCUGGAUUCGCUAGUAAUCGCGCAUCAGCCAUGGCGCGGUGAAUACGUUCCCGGGCCUUGUACACACCGCCCGUCAAGCCAUGGAAGCUGGGGGUACCUGAAGUACGUAACCGAUAAGGAGCGUCCUAGGGUAAAACUAGUGACUGGGGCUAAGUCGUAACAAGGUAGCCGUACCGGAAGGUGCGGCUGGAACACCUCCUUUCU